UACGGGGGGGGCAAGCGUUGUUCGGAAUUACUGGGCGUAAAGGGCUCGUAGGCGGCCAACUAAGUCAGACGUGAAAUCCCUCAGCUUAACUGAGGAACUGCGUCUGAUACUGGAUGGCUUGGAUUCGGGAGAGGGAUGCGGAAUUCCAGGUGUAGCGGUGAAAUGCGUAGAUAUCGGGAAGAACACCCGUGGCUAAGGCGGCUCUCUAGUACGGUACUGACGCUGAGACGCGAAAGCGUGGGGAGCGAACAGG
rnacentral:rRNA from 1 species